CACACACACACACACAAAGCUUUGAUCCCCUCUUCUCCUUCUUCCUCCCCUUGUUUUCCACUCAAUCGACCUCCUCCCACCGAUCUUCUCUGCAGCAGAGUAAAUGGGUAGCUAGAGAUAGUAUUAACAUGCUCAAAGCUUGAUCCUUUUUUGCUCUGGUUUCAAAUGGGUUCCUGCCAAAAGGUUUUAUUUUUGUCCUGAGUAGUUCUGGAGCUGUUGGGGUUUCUGAUUUUCAAGGUGGGUUCUCGCUAUUUGAGCUCGAGAAGUGUUGCAGUGGGGCGAGAAGCUUCAGGAGGAGCAGUAGCAGCAGCUGUGAACCGGAGCUCGUCCUCUUCGAGGAGGUGGAAGAAGAUUGAGAGCAUUGGGAAGAUGAAGUUUGGUUCUUUUGGUAUUGUGAGGGGGCUCUGAACCAGCACGACAACCAGAGCCAGAUUCAUGUUGCUGGGAAGAUGUGCUCCAACGGAGCUAGUGAUGUCGCCUGAGGGGGGACAUUGCUAGAAGUUCGAUAGGCCCUCGACGACCACCCUCUGAGAAAGGGCGGCCAGCAGAGAGAGAGGACCUACCUUGAAGGCUAGCUCAACUCACUGUUAUGGUUUCGGAUGAAAUUUAAACGGUGUGCUAGAUUUGAAAAGAGAAUGGUGAUUUGUGCUAUGACGUGUCAAUUUUUAAAACCGUGCUAGGAGGUGAAAAUGCCGUUCAAACUGUGUUAAGGGGUGCUAUUUUCCCUAAAUUAAAUCAUCAUCUUUGGUGGUAAGAGGCCCAAUAAAAAAAUGAAAUUAUUCUAGAGAAUAGAGAAGUGUUUUUAUUUCAUUUUUUCUCAAAAGGUGUUUUCAUUUCUUCUUCAAGUUUUAUUAGAAAUCUAUCUAUAUAUGCAUAUAAAACCAGGAUAAAGGUGGGCCGAUUAAAUUUUUUUAGAACGCUCCGUUUCUGAAUGAAGUAUUCUCGAUUUUUAAAAAUUUUUGAACAAA